CCAAAAAUAACGUACCUAAAUUCAACCCGCCCUUCUCAUAAAAAAAUUUAAUUUCUCAAUUUAAAAAUCCGUUCAUUUUCCUAUCCUUUCUUGCCUUUUCUCGGGAACCACAAAGAAAAUUUGUCAUUUCCUUUUCCCUCACUUUCUUGGCAACCAAACAACAGCACUCAAAUACUCUCUCUAAAAAUCCAGAAAAAUUCCCAGCAAAACAGAGCAAGUGUCUCAGAAAAUCUCGAUACAUCAUUUUAUCUUCACCCUCAAGCUAAAAUCUAAAACUCCUUUGUAAACCCAUACCCAUAUCAACCACUCUCUGAAAUACUGUCAAAGAAUUCAUCGCUUGCAUCGUCAUCAAGCGUACCCACCUUCCCAACACCAAUCAGUUCAGCCCGAAGACAAAUCAGUGAUACCCACCUCCCCAACACCAAAUCCUCCGAUGCAGGGGUGUAAUGCAUGCUAACAUUACAUCAACAACACGUCAAACUUCACCGACGACUUCGUCGAAGCACUCAAGUCAGCUCUCGAGACUUACCAGAAAAACUUCAACCUCAACGUCACCGGCGAGCUCGACGAUUUCACCGUACAGCAAAUCGUAAGGCCCAGGUGCGGCGACGCCGACAUCGUCAACGGUACCUCGACCAUGAACUCGGGAAAAUCGAACACCUCCUCCACGCGCUUCCACACUGUCUCUCACUACACGCUUUUUCCCGGCGAACGUCGCUGGCCUCAAAGCAAGUGCGACCUAACCUACGCGUUCAACCCAGAUAUCAACCUCUCCGACGAGGUUAAGAGCAUGUUCGCUCUCGCCAGAGACACCAUCGCUCAGCUCAGGGAGCGGUGGACUAAGCAAGAGCCUUUGAACUCUGAUUCCACUGCUCUCACUAAGGUCAGUGGAAACUCAAAGCUGCUCCUUUUUCUUUGUUUUCUUUUUUUUUUUUUUUCUUUUUUUGUUAUGCUGUGUUUGGUUGCUGAGAAAAUGAUGGGAAAAAGAAGUGUGAAGUUUGGGAGAAAAAUGAAAAUUAACCCUGAUUUUCAAACAUUAUAAUUUGUAGGCUACGUUUUUAAAUUAUAUUUUUUACUAGCAUCUCAAGUAUUUAAGACUCGAUUUUGGCCUAUAAAUCGAGUCUCAAAGACUCAAUUUCCAUGGAUUAAUCACGUUUGAUGUGGUAUUUUUUUCCAUGUGGCGUCUACAUGAAAAUCGAGUCUCUAAGACUCGAUUUAUAAACCAAAAAAAAAUUUAAGUCUCAAGUCUCUCAGUCAUUCCUAGAAAUACCAAAAAAAAAAAAAAAAAUUUAAGAAAUCCAAGAAACACAAUCUAGCACAAUCAGAUCAGAGACACAACAAUCACAGCACAAUCAGAUCAAAGAGAGAAAGAUCUAGAGACCCAAAUUAAAUAGGAGGCAGCACGACCUGGGUCGUGCGACCCUGGGCAACGCGACGUGGGUCGGCUUGGGUUGACGGUUGAGCUUGCAUCUCCAUUUCUUCUUCUUCUUCUCUCUCUUUCUUUCUGCGUUUUUGUUGUUUCUGCGUCUUCUGAUCUGAGUAUGAAUGAUUGUAAUUAUAAAAUAGGUUAUAAAUCGAGUCUUAAAGACUCGAUUUUCAUGUAGACGCCAUGUGGAAAAAAGUAUCACAUCAGAUGUGAUCAACUCAUGUAAAUCGAGUCUUUGAGACUCGAUUUAUAGGCCCUAAAUCGAGUCUUUAAGACUCGAGAUGCUAGUAAAAAAUAUAGUUUGAAGACGUGACCUAUCAAUUAUAAUGUUUGAAAAUGAGGGUUAAUUACCCUGAAAUGUCGUGAAGUUUGACUCUUUUAAGAGUUAUGUGUUUGUUGUCCUCUGUUUGGGUGCCAAUGGAAGUGUUUAUCUGAAAGUAGAAAUAAUUAACAAUUGUCUGAAUUUUUAUUGAUUGAAUUUU